CCAUCUAUUCACAUUGUUAAACUUUCUUUCCUGAUGUUAAUUAAUCUACAAGUUGAACUUGUGUUGUAAAACGUUUAUAAAAACUAGACGUGCAUAUCCUCUAUCCUAAAUGAGUGUAUGUUUUAUGCAGGGAAUGGAUCAUAUUGACCCCAAGGAUGCAUUUGCCAUAGAAAUGUGCAUUGGUCUUAUGAGGAAAUGUGGUCGCGAUAUUCCAGUUAGGAACAAUUACUGGAACAAGCUAAAAAACGCACCCGUGAGCAGGCUAUAUCAUUAAAGCCUAAUUAUAUAAAUGAAGAAAGUUGGCAGAAACUUGUGGACCACUAGUGUGAGGAUCAUUCCAAUGUAUGUGAUACACACUCUUGGCUUUUUAACUUGUCAAUCCAUACUUCUGGAAACAUCGUACGGAAUUUGAGCUACAUGUCAUAGGAACUUCGUGCGAAGAAAUAAGGAAAACCAUCUACUCUGAAGCUCAGCCAUAACACUGCACCUACAUAAUGAUAUUCCCACUUCAGACAUAUAGUACGUGUUUGUACUACCUUAUUGCAAAAGUUGUAUGUUGGAUUACCACAUUUCUUGUUGUAUUGAUGUUUACCAAUUGAUAAAUCUGAUACAAGCCUAAGGACAACAUUGAUAAUCAGUCUGGUGGAGACUUGCUUGAACUACGUGCACUAGAAACAAGGAUCCUCCAUUGAGUCUGACUGCAAAAAAACAAAUCAUAAGUACUGCCAAAUUUGCAGGCUUCAAAUUUAUAGUCUGACAAUAAUUAUUCAAACUACCAAACAUUGUUCUAACACUGCUAUCAACCGUAUUGCUGAAUGAAUCGAGGAUCAGACAUACACCAUCAAAACUGCUUGAUACAACAACAAUACCUGAUGUAGAAAUCAUUGAGGAAAAGAGCUCCCCAAGCACCUUACUUUUCAGCAUGGGCGUCCCAUCCUCCUCCGUUAAGAAUUCAUCCUCUCGUGAACAUAUCCGUGAGCUAGAACACAUCAUUGCAACUCAAGAGGCAGAUGCAAAAAAGGCAACUGAUAUGUUUCAUGAAGAGCUCAAUGAACCCCUUUUUGCCCAGAUAGUAGAAAUUAAAGAACUUCAGAAGAAGCGGCUAGAAGAGAUUGAAGAUUUCAAAAUGGAUCAGCAGAAGAAAUCCACUGUCUUUGAAAAAAGGCAAAGACAUAUGGAGGCAAUGCUCAGUCAUCUGUUAAGGAAGUCCACACAGUCAGCACAAGACAACGUCCGAAAAACACCGAUGGCCUCAUGCUUAUAGUCAAUUUAAUGUUACUUUGUUCGACAAUUUGUCCUCUGCUUCUCCUUGUAAAAUGUUAGGAUUCACUUAUAAUGAAAGCUCUGUUGCCAAUGUUUGAAAUCUCAUAUUCCAGCGAAUCAAAUUUUCAAUCUAUUUUCCUGAAAUUACAAAUUAAAUACGGAUUCACUCACAAAAUUCACAUCAAUUAAUCUAAUUUUUUCUACGAGCGACGAUAAUUGUGACGUAAAUGCAUGUCAUCAACAAUGUCUAGUCCCACUUGUAAGCAGCCACGUCAGCAUAUUCUGGGCCCAUAUGUCAGCAUCUUUGACCGGUCAAAACUGACGCCCGAUUAUUACUGAAGGGACGGUCGGUGAUAAAAAUCAUGGCAGACCCACAUGGAAGAAGACACGUCAGCAACUGUUAGCCCCACCUAUCUGAAUCUUUGACCAGUCAACCCCCGAACCGAUCACCGGUGACGGGAUUAUUGUCGCCAAAAAGAUUUUGGGCGACAUAUGGGGCCAUCAUAGGUGACAUCUGGGCCGUCACUAAACACGAUCGCUGGUGACAUUUUUGUUCCGUCACCUAAUAUGCCAACUUGCGUGACGAAAAAAGUGGUACCGUCGAAAUUUUAUUUUCUAUGACAGCGCUUCGGUGAUGGUGGGCGCGACGACCGAAAAACAUCGCCAAUGUAUUUUCGAUGACGAAAACGGG
rnacentral:lncRNA from 1 species